rnacentral:rRNA from 1 species
CUGGCACCUUCGGUGUCCGAGUUGUAAUUUGAAGAAGGUAACUUUGGAGUUGGCUCUUGUCUAUGUUCCUUGGAACAGGACGUCACAGAGGGUGAGAAUCCCGUGCGAUGAGAUGUCCAACUCUAUGUAAAGUGCUUUCGAAGAGUCGAGUUGUUUGGGAAUGCAGCUCUAAGUGGGUGGUAAAUUCCAUCUAAAGCUAAAUAUUGGCGAGAGACCGAUAGCGAACAAGUACAGUGAUGGAAAGAUGAAAAGAACUUUGAAAAGAGAGUGAAAAAGUACGUGAAAUUGUUGAAAGGGAAGGGUUUGAGAUCAGACUUGGUAUUUUGUAUGUCUUGCUUUCGGGUGGGGCCUCUGCAGUUUACUGGGCCAGCAUCGGUUUGGACGGUAGGAUAAUGACAUUGGAAUGUGG